GCUAGAUAACCGAAAGUAAAAACUCCUUCAAGGUCACCGAGGAACGUUCCGGAAAGAAAGACUGCAACCAAGAGACAGUAAAAACCAGAAAGGAUGGUGCUGGAGCAGAUGGAGUGAGAGUGACUUUCAAGCUCACUUAAAUAUGGGAGUUCUUAUAUGUCUGACAAACUCUUGAUGUCCUGAGUGCAAAAUAUCUAGCUAUUUAAAAUGUUGACUUGGAAAAAAUGCCUUUGGGAAAAUGACACCAAAUAGUAUUAAAUAAUAGCAAAAGGAGAGAGAUGACCAGGGAAAAUGAUCCACAUAUUUGCUGAAGAUAAGUACAGAUUUCUAUUUUUCUGCUAUAAUUUGAUUUAAAAGAUUUAGGGUUAUGUUAGAUUUUACAUUAGAAUAUAGAUUGUUCUGAGGGAGGUUUCUUCCAUUAUACAAUUACCAUUUUCACUGUUUUUUGUUUUUUUUUUAAUUAAAACACAGUUAAAGUAAAUAUUCCAUGACACCAUGACUCAGUAUUUCACCAUUUGGUAAAAAUAUAUAAAUCUUACAAAUAAUUUACCCAAACUCUAGACUUUGAGAAGCGUGGACUGUGCUUGUGCAAUCCUCUCUCAGUCAUUGUCUAAUGUGGAAGGAGUUGUGCUUGAUGGUUGCAGCCUGUAAUUAGUGAGAUCAGUAAUCAAGACAGCUGUGAUGUAUUUUCCUACAAGAACUAAAAGAGUGAGGACAUCUGUCUGAGAUGAAUGAAAUGGUCAAAUAUAAAUGAACCUAAAUUUGCUGUGUUGUGUGGUUCUUUUCAGGGAGAAAAGAGAGUAUAUGUCCCUCAUGAGAAUAUUUCUUCAGCAUCAAAAUUGAG
rnacentral:lncRNA from 1 species